AGAGGUCUGCUGCAUAUGGAUCCUUCAGCCUCCCAGGAAGGCAGCAGCUGGGGCCUGCCCCAAGCUUCUCCUUUGGUAUGAAUCAACAAGGCUUGGCCAAUCCGGCAAUGGCUGGAUUGGGUCCCGGCCAACCCAAGAUGCCCGUUAUGCCUGUCCACCCAUAUUUAGCACAGCAACGUCCGAUGAAUGAAAUGGGGUUCCUGCUGCCCAAAGGAGAACCUAAGGUGGAGCCUAUGUCAGAACCAAGUUUGAACCUAUCCAACAAUCCAUCAAUAUAUCAGCAAAUCAUGAGUAGGCUGCCGCU
rnacentral:misc_RNA from 1 species